rnacentral:rRNA from 1 species
GACGAACGCUGGCGGCGUGCUUAACACAUGCAAGUCGAACGGAAAGGCCCUGCCUUUGUUGUGUGCUCGAGUGGCGAACGGGUGAGUAACCCGUGAGUAACCUUCCCUUUACUAUGGGAUAACUUCAGGAAACUGGGGCUAAUACCGGAUAGGAGCUCCUGCUGCAUGGUGGGGGUUGGAAAGUUUGGGCUGUCUGGGAUGGAUUGGUGGCUCAUCAGUUUGUUGGUGGGGUAGUGGCUUACCAAGGUUUCGACGGGUAGCCGGCCUGGGAGGGUGACCGGCCACAUGGGGACUGAGGGACGGCCCAGACUGCUACGGGAGGCGGCGGUGGGGAAUAUUGCACAAUGGGCGGAAGCCUGAUGCAGCAGCGCCGGGUGCGGGAUGACGGCCUUCGGGUUGUGAACCGAUUUCGCCUGAGACGUAGCGUGAGUGACGGUAAUGGGUAAAGAAGCACCGGCUAACUACGUG